GCCGAAGUGGCGGAAUUGGCAGACGCGCCGGAUUCAAAAUCCGGUGGGGGUAAACCUCGUGUGGGUUCGAGUCCCACCUUCGGCAC
rnacentral:tRNA from 1 species